AUUGAACGCUGGCGGCAUGCCUUACACAUGCAAGUCGAACGGCAGCAUGAUCUAGCUUGCUAGAUUGAUGGCGAGUGGCGCACGGGUGAGUAAUACAUCGGAACGUGCCCUGUAGUGGGGGAUAACUAGUCGAAAGAUUAGCUAAUACCGCAUACGACCUGAGGGUGAAAGUGGGGGACCGCAAGGCCUCAUGCUAUAGGAGCGGCCGAUGUCUGAUUAGCUAGUUGGUGAGGUAAAGGCUCACCAAGGCGACGAUCAGUAGCUGGUCUGAGAGGACGAUCCGCCACAUGGGAGGGAAGAGACGCCCCAGCCUCGUAGGGGGGGCAGCGGGGGGGUAUUUGGAACAAGGGGGGAAGGCUUAACCAAGCAGGGCGGGGGGUGGAAGGAUGGCUUGCGGUUUGAAAAGCUCUUUUGUCGGGAAAGAAGUGGCUGGGGUGAAUACCGGGGGGCGAUGAGGGUCCCGAAAAAAGAGGGCCGGGCAAACUCCGUC
rnacentral:rRNA from 1 species